GCCUGGGUGGCUCAGUCGGUUGAGCGUCCGACUUCAGCCCGGUUACGAUCUCGCGGUCCGUGAGUUCGAGCCCCGCAUCGGGCU
rnacentral:tRNA from 1 species